UUCGAUCUGGCUCAGAUUGAACGCUGGCGGGAUUCUUUACACAUGCAAGUCGAACGGCAGCACGGACUUCCGGUCUGGUGGCGAGUGGCGAACGGGUGAGUAAUGUAUCGGAACGUGCCUAAUGGCAGAGGGAUAACUACGCGAAAGCGUAGCUAAUACCGCAUACGCCCUUCGGGGGAAAGCGGGGGACCUUCGGGCCUCGCACUAUUAGAGCGGCCGAUAUCGGAUUAGCUAGUUGGUAGGGUAACGGCUCACCAAGGCGACGAUCCGUAGCUGGUUUGAGACGACCAGCCACACUGGGACUGAGACACGGCCCAGACUCCUACGGGGAGGCAGCAGUAGAAUUUUUGGACAAUGGGGGAAACCCUGAUCCAGCCAUCCCGCGUGUGCGAUGAAGGCCUUCGGGUUGUAAAGCACUUUUGGCAGGAAAGAAACGGCACGGGAUAAUACCCCGUGCAACUGACGGUACCUGCAGAAUAAGCACCGGCUAACUACGUGCCAGCAGCCGCGGUAAUACGUAGGGUGCAAGCGUUAAUCGGAAUUACUGGGCGUAAAGCGUGCAUGACGGUUCGGAAAAGAAAGAUGUGAAAUCCCAGAGCUUAACUUUGGAACUGCAUUUUAACUACCGAGCUAGAGUGUGUCCAGAGGAGGUGGAAUUCCGCGUGUAGCAGUGAAAUGCGUAGAUAUGCGGAGGAACACCGAUGGCGAAGGCAGCCUCCUGGGAUAACACUGACGCUCGUAUGCACGAAAAGCGUGGGGAGCAAACAGGAAGUUAGAUACCCUGGUAGUCCACGCCCUAAACGUGUCAACUAGCUGUUGUUGGGGCCUUCGGGCCUUGGUAGCGCAGCCCCAACGCGUGAAGUUGACCGCCUGGGGAUACGGUCGCAAGAUUAAAACUCAAAGGAAUUGACGGGGACCCGCACAAGCGGUGGAUGAUGUGGAUUAAUUCGAUGCAACGCGAAAAGCCUUACCUACCCUUGACAUGUCUGGAAUCCCGAAGAGAUUCCCGGGAGUGCUCGCAAGAGAACCGGAACACAGGUGCUGCAUGGCUGUCGUCAGCUCGUGUCGUGAGAUGUCGGGUUAAGUCCCGCAACGAGCGCAACCCUUGUCAUUAGUUGCUACGAGGCACUCUAAUGAGACUGCCGGUGACAAACCGGAGGAAGGUGGGGAUGACGUCAAGUCCUCAUGGCCUUAUGGGUAGGGCUUCACACGUCAUACAAUGGUCGGGACAGAGGGUCGCCAACCCGCAGAGGCCAAUCCCGAAGCCCGAUCAUUAGUCGGAUCGCAGUCUGCAACUCUGACUGCGUGAAGUCGGAAUCGCUAGUAAUCGCGGAUCAGCAUAUCGCCGGUGAAUACGUUCCCGGGUCUUUAUACCACGCCCAUCCGCACCAUGGGAGUGGGUUUUGCAGAAGUAGUUAGCCUAACCGUAAGGAGGGCGAUUACCACGGUAGGAUUCAUGACUGGGGUGAAGUCGUAACAAGGUAA
rnacentral:rRNA from 1 species